rnacentral:rRNA from 1 species
AUUGAACGCUGGCGGCAUGCUUUACACAUGCAAGUCGAACGGUAACAGGCCGCAAGGUGCUGACGAGUGGCGAACGGGUGAGUAAUGCAUCGGAACGUGCCCAGUCGUGGGGGAUAACGCAGCGAAAGCUGCGCUAAUACCGCAUACGAUCUAUGGAUGAAAGCGGGGGACCGUAAGGCCUCGCGCGAUGGGAGCGGCCGAUGUCUGAUUAGGUCGUUGGUGGGGUAAAGGCUCACCAAGCCAACGAUCUGUAGCAGGUCUGAGAGGACGACCAGCCACACUGGGACUGAGACACGGCCCAGACUCCUACGGGAGGCAGCAGUGGGGAAUUUUGGACAAUGGGCGCAAGCCUGAUCCAGCACUGCCGCGUGCAGGAAGAAGGCCUUCGGGUUGUAAACUGCUUUUGUACGGAACGAAACGGUCCUGGUUAAUACCUGGUGCUAAUGACGGUACCGUAAGAAUAAGUACCGGCUAACUACGUGCCAGCCGCCGCAGUAACAC